rnacentral:piRNA from 1 species
UGCCACUGAGGACCAUACUGGAAUGC